UACGUAGGGAGCAAGCGUUGUCCGGAAUCAUUGGGCGUAAAGAGCGCGUAGGUGGCUUUAUAAGUCCGUUGUGAAAGUCAAAGGCUCAACCUUUGAAAGCCGAUGGAUACUGUGAAGCUAGAGUACGGAAGAGGCGAGUGGAAUUCCUGGUGUAGCGGUGGAAUGCGCAGAUAUCAGGAGGAACACCAAUAGCGAAGGCAGCUCGCUGGGACGUUACUGACACUGAGGCGCGAAGGCGUGGGGAGCGAACGGG
rnacentral:rRNA from 1 species